rnacentral:rRNA from 1 species
AUGGGGGGAGCAAGCGUUGUUCGGAUUUACUGGGCGUAAAGGGCGGGUAGGCGGCCACCGCAAGUCAGUUGUGAAAUCUCUGGGCUUAACCCAGAAAGGUCAACUGAUACUGCGGGGCUAGAGUGCGGAAGGGGCAAUCGGAAUUCUCGGUGUAGCGGUGAAAUGCGUAGAUAUCGAGAGGAACACCUGAGGUGAAGACGGGUUGCUGGGCCGACACUGACGCUGAGGCGCGAAAGCCAGGGUAGCAAACGGGA